CUCCCCCUGGGCACAGGCGACCCACAGGGUCAGUGUCCUGCCUCCAGCCCCGCCCCCCAGGGCAGCCCUCGCCGGGCUACCCCGCCUCUCACCUGGUGCAAGGGAAACCUGGUCUCGAAGACCCCGUCAUUCAUCAAGUCCCGGAACGUGUCUAAGGCCACAGAGAGUCUCGGGAUGAAGUUGACGAUUCGGAUUCUGGAACACAAGGGCUGGUUCAGGGUGGCCCCGGGUACCUCAGUGGGGCCCACCCCCUCUCUGGCCAGCUCCUCCAGGAACUUCCGCUGCUUGUGGACCGCCCUGGGGUUUCGCUGGGUGCGGUAGUCUGCCACCAGGAUGUAGUCGGGC